rnacentral:rRNA from 1 species
UACGGGGGGGGGCAAGCGUUGUUCGGAAUUACUGGGCGUAAAGCGCGUGUAGGCGGCUCUUCAAGUCGAGUGUGAAAGCUCCAGGCUUAACCUGGGAAUUGCGCUCGAUACUGUUGAGCUAGAGUGUGGAAGGGGCUACUGGAAUUCCGUGUGUAGCGGUGAAAUGCGUAGAGAUGUGGAGGAACACCGAUGGCGAAGGCAGCCUCCUGGGCCGAACACUGACGCUCAUGCACGAAAGCGU